rnacentral:rRNA from 1 species
UCGACCUGAGGUCAGGCAAGAACACCUCGCUGAACUUAAGCAUAUCAAUAAGCGGAGAGAAAGAAACUAACUAGGAUUCCCUUAGUAAUCGCGAGCGAACCGGGAUGAGCCUAACUUGUAAAUCAUUAGCCCUUGGCUAAUUGAAAUUGUAGUCUCAAGAUGCGAUCUCUGCAGGCAGCAAUGCUCAAUUUUUCUUU